UAUUUUUAUAGUGUAAACUAACACGUUACAUUUUCAUUGUAAAACUGAAAUACUUAUUUUCUAAAAAUA
rnacentral:tRNA from 1 species